UACGGAGGAUGCGAGCGUUAUCCGGAUUUAUUGGGUUUAAAGGGUGCGUAGGCGGAAUGCCAAGUCAGCGGUAAAAUCGCGGGCUCAACCUCGCUCCGCCGUUGAACUGGCGUUCUUGAGUGGGCGAGAAGUAUGCGGAAUGCGUGGUGUAGCGGUGAAAUGCAUAGAUAUCACGCAGAACUCCGAUUGCGAAGGCAGCAUACCGGCGCCCAACUGACGCUGAAGCACCGAAAGCGUGGGUAGU
rnacentral:rRNA from 1 species